GUGCUCGCUUUGGCAGCACACAUACUAAAAUUGGAACGAUACAGAGAAGAUUAGCAUGGUCCCUGCGCAAGGAGGACAUGCAAAUUCGUGAAGCAUUCCAUAUUUUG
rnacentral:snRNA from 2 species